CUAGACACGGAAAGAGGUCAUUGAAAUAAUCAUGGCUACCGUCACAGAGCAAAACAUUUUUUGGAGCACACUGUGCUACCCUGCGGUGGAAGUUGCAAGACCUUUGAGAAUUUGUGGCUCUUGAGAAUUCAUCCUCACCCUGCAAACUAAGGAACCACGUGAAGCUGAUCCAUUAAGUCCUGUGUUGCUCCUUGUUGGACAGGUCUUCUAAUACAUCAUGAGAAGAGUGGAAGUGAUCUGACAAGAAUGGAAUAAUGCAGCACAUUGGUUUCUCAUAGAGGACUAACAAGUCCAGGGCUUACAUGGGAUAUGUUCUGGAUGGAAGAGCACCUCUGGCUGGACCUGAAGCCAUUAGACCAAUCCUGGACAGGAAGGCUAUGGUUUCAGCCUGUGAAGAUUGCAU